UACGUAGGGUGCGAGCGUUAAUCGGAAUUACUGGGCGUAAAGCGUGCGCAGGCGGUUUGUUAAGUCUGUUGUGAAAUCCCCGAGCUCAACUUGGGAAUUGCAAUGGAUACUGGCAGGCUGGAGUAUGGUAGAGGAAGGUGGAAUUCCCGGUGUAGCAGUGAAAUGCGUAGAGAUCGGGAGGAACACCAGUGGCGAAGGCGGCCUUCUGGACCAAUACUGACGCUCAGGCACGAAAGCGUGGGGAGCAAACAGG
rnacentral:rRNA from 1 species